GGGCGCAUAGCUCAGCGGAAGAGCGCCGCCUUCGCAAGGCGGAGGCCGGGGGUUCGAAUCCCCCUGCGUCCA
rnacentral:tRNA from 1 species